AUUGAACGCUGGCGGCAGGCCUAACACAUGCAAGUCGAGCGGAUGAAGGGAGCUUGCUCCUGGAUUCAGCGGCGGACGGGUGAGUAAUGCCUAGGAAUCUGCCUGGUAGUGGGGGAUAACGUCCGGAAACGGGCGCUAAUACCGCAUACGUCCUGAGGGAGAAAGUGGGGGAUCUUCGGACCUCACGCUAUCAGAUGAGCCUAGGUCGGAUUAGCUAGUUGGUGGGGUAAAGGCCUACCAAGGCGACGAUCCGUAACUGGUCUGAGAGGAUGAUCAGUCACACUGGAACUGAGACACGGUCCAGACUCCUACGGGAAGCAGCAGUGGGGAAUAUUGGACAAUGGGCGAAAGCCUGAUCCAGCCAUGCCGCGUGUGUGAAGAAGGUCUUCGGAUUGUAAAGCACUUUAAGUUGGGAGGAAGGGCAGUAAGUUAAUACCUUGCUGUUUUGGCGUUACCAACAGAAUAAGCACCGGCUAACUUCGUG
rnacentral:rRNA from 1 species